UGCGUACCUUUUGUAUAAUGGGUCAGCGACUUAUAUUCUGUAGCAAGGUUAACCGAAUAGGGGAGCCGGAGGGAAACCGAGUCUUAACCGGGCGUUAAGUUGCAGGGUAUAGACCCGAAACCCGGUGAUCUAGCCAUGGGCAGGUUGAAGGUUGGGUAACACUAACUGGAGGACCGAACCGACUAAUGUUGAAAAAUUAGCGGAUGACCUGUGGCUGGGGGUGAAAGGCCAAUCAAACCGGGAGAUAGCUGGUUCUCCCCGAAAGCUAUUUAGGUAGCGCCUCGUGAACUCAUCUCCGGGGGUAGAGCACUGUUUCGGCUAGGGGGCCAUCCCGGCUUACCAACCCGAUGCAAACUGCGAAUACCGGAGAAUGUUAUCACGGGAGACACACGGCGGGUGCUAACGUCCGUCGUGAAGAGGGAAACAACCCAGACCGCCAGCUAAGGUCCCAAAGUCAUGGUUAAGUGGGAAACGAUGUGGGAAGGCCCAGACAGCCAGGAUGUUGGCUUAGAAGCAGCCAUCAUUUAAAGAAAGCGUAAUAGCUCACUGGUCGAGUCGGCCUGCGCGGAAGAUGUAACGGGGCUAAACCAUGCACCGAAGCUGCGGCAGCGACACUCAGGUGUUGUUGGGUAGGGGAGCGUUCUGUAAGCCUGCGAAGGUGGCCUGUGAGGGUUGCUGGAGGUAUCAGAAGUGCGAAUGCUGACAUAAGUAACGAUAAAGCGGGUGAAAAGCCCGCUCGCCGGAAGACCAAGGGUUCCUGUCCAACGUUAAUCGGGGCAGGGUGAGUCGACCCCUAAGGCGAGGCCGAAAGGCGUAGUCGAUGGGAAACGGGUUAAUAUUCCCGUACUUGGUGUUACUGCGAAGGGGGGACGGAGAAGGCUAUGUUGGCCGGGCGACGGUUGUCCCGGUUUAAGCGUGUAGGUGUGUGUUCCAGGUAAAUCCGGUUCACUUUAACACUGAGGCGUGAUGACGAGGCACUACGGUGCUGAAGCAACAAAUGCCCUGCUUCCAGGAAAAGCCUCUAAGCAUCAGGUAACAUCAAAUCGUACCCCAAACCGACACAGGUGGUCAGGUAGAGAAUACCAAGGCGCUUGAGAGAACUCGGGUGAAGGAACUAGGCAAAAUGGUGCCGUAACUUCGGGAGAAGGCACGCUGACACGUAGGUGAAGUGAUUUACUCAUGGAGCUGAAGUCAGUCGAAGAUACCAGCUGGCUGCAACUGUUUAUUAAAAACACAGCACUGUGCAAACACGAAAGUGGACGUAUACGGUGUGACGCCUGCCCGGUGCCGGAAGGUUAAUUGAUGGGGUCAGCGCAAGCGAAGCUCCUGAUCGAAGCCCCGGUAAACGGCGGCCGUAACUAUAACGGUCCUAAGGUAGCGAAAUUCCUUGUCGGGUAAGUUCCGACCUGCACGAAUGGCGUAAUGAUGGCCAGGCUGUCUCCACCCGAGACUCAGUGAAAUUGAACUCGCUGUGAAGAUGCAGUGUACCCGCGGCAAGACGGAAAGACCCCGUGAACCUUUACUAUAGCUUGACACUGAACAUUGAGCCUUGAUGUGUAGGAUAGGUGGGAGGCUUUGAAGUGUGGACGCCAGUCUGCAUGGAGCCGGCCUUGAAAUACCACCCUUUAAUGUUUGAUGUUCUAACGUGGACCCGUGAUCCGGGUUGCGGACAGUGUCUGGUGGGUAGUUUGACUGGGGCGGUCUCCUCCUAAAGAGUAACGGAGGAGCACGAAGGUUGGCUAAUCCUGGUCGGACAUCAGGAGGUUAGUGCAAUGGCAUAAGCCAGCUUGACUGCGAGCGUGACGGCGCGAGCAGGUGCGAAAGCAGGUCAUAGUGAUCCGGUGGUUCUGAAUGGAAGGGCCAUCGCUCAACGGAUAAAAGGUACUCCGGGGAUAACAGGCUGAUACCGCCCAAGAGUUCAUAUCGACGGCGGUGUUUGGCACCUCGAUGUCGGCUCAUCACAUCCUGGGGCUGAAGUAGGUCCCAAGGGUAUGGCUGUUCGCCAUUUAAAGUGGUACGCGAGCUGGGUUUAGAACGUCGUGAGACAGUUCGGUCCCUAUCUGCCGUGGGCGCUGGAGAACUGAGGGGGGCUGCUCCUAGUACGAGAGGACCGGAGUGGACGCAUCACUGGUGUUCGGGUUGUCAUGCCAAUGGCACUGCCCGGUAGCUAAAUGCGGAAGAGAUAAGUGCUGAAAGCAUCUAAGCACGAAACUUGCCCCGAGAUGAGUUCUCCCUGAGACUUUAGGUCUCCUGAAGGAACGUUGAAGACGACGACGUUGAUAGGCCGGGUGUGUAAGCGCAGCGAUGCGUUGAGCUAACCGGUACUAAUGAACCGUGAGGCUUAACCUUACA
rnacentral:rRNA from 1 species